UACGGAGGGGGCUAGCGUUGUCCGGAUUUAUUGGGCGUAAAGAGCGUGUAGGCGGCCAGGUAGGUCCGUUGUGAAAACUCGAGGCUCAACCUCGAGACGUCGAUGGAAACCAUCUGGCUAGAGUCCGGAAGAGGAGAGUGGAAUUCCUGGUGUAGCGGUGAAAUGCGCAGAUAUCAGGAAGAACACCUAUGGCGAAGGCAGCUCUCUGGGACGGUACUGACGCUGAGACGCGAAAGCGUGGGGAGCGAACAGG
rnacentral:rRNA from 1 species